ACCACCCAUGAGGACAAUAUAGAUCAGAAGCCACAGCCGACCAGUGAAAGCCAUGAAAAAUAAGCACGGUGUAAAUGUGUGUUGCCUUAAAACAUUUUAUGUUUUUUUGUUUUGUUUUGUUAGUUCAACGUAAAUUAGACUCUCCUGAUAGAAUAAGUUAAGGGGUGAGACCAAGAAAAAGGCAGAAGAGAGAUGAGCUUCUGGCCUAUACCUAAUGGAUUGUGCCUUGUCCUUAGAAUCCGAGCUCUUUGAUCCCCUCUGCUAAGUGAGGAUUCAGUUUUGGUUUUUUUUUUGAUUUCCUGAAACAAAAGUGAUCAAACCAUCUUUUACUUAAAGAAGAGAAGGCAUACAUUUUCCCAAAGGAUAUUUUACCAUGUAUUUACCUAAAGGCUACGAUUCAACAAAAUUUACUUCAUUUUAAAAGUUCACUUCAACACUGUCCAGAUAAGAUGUGCCAUCCUGUAUGUCCAAUACGAGUAUUUGGAGAGCAUAAAAAUGAUAUUCCUAAAACCUAGAAGAUACCACCAUGAGAAAACGAGUGAUGCUGUAGCAUUGAAUCAGGUACCGCGCUAUACGUUGAACAUGCAAAAUGUAUAUGGCAUGAUAUCUGCUCUUGAAGUACUUAAAGUGACAGACAAGCAUGUAAAUCAGGCAUUUUGCAAAUGUCAUCUCAAGAAAAAGAAGUGAAGGAUAGACUGGAGGUAAAACCGGAAAGGAUGAAAAACCAAACAAGGCUGGGUUAUUAAAUUGUUUACUCUAAUAAACAAUAUUGCUUGUUCCUUUGGCACCUUG